rnacentral:rRNA from 1 species
ACGUAGGGUGCAAGCGUUAAUCGGAAUUACUGGGCGUAAAGCGUGCGCAGGCGGUUCGGAAAGAGAGGUGUGAAAUCCCAGGGCUUAACCUUGGAACUGCACUUUUAACUACCGGGCUAGAGUACGUCAGAGGGGGGUAGAAUUCCUGGUGUAGCGGUGAAAUGCGUAGAUAUCAGGAGGAACACCUGUGGUGUAGACGGCUUUCUGGACCAUAGCUGACGCUGAGACACGAAAGCGUGGGUAGCAAACAGGA